GGGUGUGAUCAUACCAGCACUAAUGCACCGGAUCCCAUCAGAACUCCGCAGUCAAGUGUGC
rnacentral:rRNA from 1 species